rnacentral:lncRNA from 1 species
AGGAAGAGAACAAGAGUGGCAGCAUGUCAGGAGCCCUCACCGGGACUGGAGCAGAUGCCACUGGGCCCUUCCAGGAAUUCUUUGGUUCUGUUGGGUUCUGGUUCCCUCCGUGUGAUGGAAAACAACUCAACAAACCUAUUUGCCUUUGGAUUUUGAAACAUAUUAAGAAAUCAGAAAUAAUCGAGUUCAAAGUGCCACACACCUUGAUGAUGUGCACAUCAGUGGGCAUUGAUUUUGUGACUUUGCCAAGUACACAGCCAGUUCUUUCAGGUGCCCACAACAGCUCAGGCCUGGAAACACAAGCAUCUCACCAGCUGCCUCCACAUUCCGUGGCCUCCCUCACCCCGCCCUCCACACCCCACACCUUCCUCUUCUGAGAAAGUUGGAAAGGCACUGCGCCCACCAAGAAGAGUCCACGUGAGUCCACGAGUGGUCAUGCCCUGGCUGAAGGCCCUGGGGUUCUUCACCUCUGGAGCCUCAAAGGUGUAGUCUCUGAGGUGGAAGAGGGCUGCAGGCCUGUCAUUUGUAGAGUGGAUAAAGAGAUGCCCCCGAAGUGAUCCGUAAACUACAAUUGAAAGAUAACAGAGAGAAAUGUGCAUUAUCCCUCUAGAUCAUUUCUAGGAUGGAAACACAGGCUCUGGCUUUCUCUUUUCCUGUGUGCAACACUGAGUCAUUCAUUUGUUCAUCAUUCGUUCAUUCAUUCGAUAAGUGGGUAUCACACAUUACCGUUGAGUUCUGCCUUGGAAGCUGCAAGCCGGCGGGUUUGGGACCCUGCCCUCCAGAUGGGCACCUUCCAAACACCUCAAAGGAGCCCCUGCCAGUGCUGACAAAGUGGGGGUCUGAUCAACCAAUUCCUGAUGAGGUGUUAACUACUGGUAAGUACUUAAUGCUUCGGGGUGUUAAAAACGAAAUUUAGGGAGCAUGAGGAUGCUUCCUAGUACAACCCAAAAGGCUUUCCAGGACACACUCUGUCUACAUUUAGGCCUGGGGUUUUUAAAUACAUGAACAUGUUAGUAACUGCACACUUUCAUCCAUUAGAGUGCAAGGUGAAUCCUGGUCUGUUCUACAAAGAUGAGAAACUCACAGUCGUAGGAGGCAGUGUGGCCAGGUAUGAUUGUAAACAAUUAAUUGUGAGGCAAUCCUUACAGACACCAUAAUCUGAAAAGCUAGAGGACGAGGAAAAUGCAAAUGGGGUGGGGCAACCCCAGCAGGAGGAUGCCUGGGUUUAGGAGAAGAGGAAAGAGGCUUCCAGAGGGGGAACUGGCAUUAUCAGCAAAGGCACAGACGUCUGCAGGAGCCAUGCAGGUUCACAGGAGGAAGACUGAACCCCGGCUGGAUAGGAGCAGGAAUACGGAGGCCAGGACCUGCUCCUGGGGGCUGCCCGCCCUGUGCUGAGUGAUUUGUAUAUGGAAUCUCAUUGAUUUCAUUCUCAUGUUUUAGAAACCCUUAUGCCCAUUUUAAGGAUAAUGAAACUGUGGCUGGAUGAAGCUAAUGAAGGGGUUUAAACCAUGUCCAGAAUGUGUAUCCACCCUGGCAAGUUGCAGGCAGGACUUCUGCUCCCACCCUCUGGACCUCCACGCGGGGGACCUCUAACAGGUCUCUGAGCUUGGCGUGUGAACCCAAAGUGGGGCACGGGUGCUCCCCAGCCUGGCACAGAGGAGCCUGCUGCCCGCAAGGACUUCCUCACCCAGCCAGGGCUCUUCGUGAAGCGGAGAGGGAGCCCCGCAGCCUGGCACUCUCGCUGGGAAGACAGUGCACAUGCUCCAGCUUUUCCGUUAAGGACACACUGAGGCCACAGCUGUGGAAGGUGAAACGGGGAGAGAGAGCCUGGAAUGGCUGAAAGGCACUUACAGCAGAAGUGCAAACAGAGACACAGGGUCACACCCACGCACGAGGCUUGGCCGUGUCCGGCUCAGGGCCCGGUCAUCAUGGCCCAGCGUGCAGCCAGAGAAGCAGCAGAGGCAGCGUGGCCACACAUCUUUCCCCAGCCUGGCGCAGCAGGACCAUAUGAGUUUAUCUAUAAUAUCAAAUACGAGGUUAACUCUUUUAUUUAUAUGCAGUUUUAUCAUAAGAGUCUUUAAAAGGAGAAUUCCCUGUCACCUCAGAGCACCCUGGUUUUUAUUAAUCUGGUUGCAUUUGGAGACGUUUAGUCAGUCACUACUUCCUGCUUAGACGCACCACCCACAGGUGCCUCAUUGGCAUGGAGGAAUGCGAGCAGGACUGGGUUCAACUUUGUGUCUCCGUUAUUACUCCGGAUGCUUCAUUUCUCAUUAAAAGGUAAGCGAGACUGGAUGACCUAAAUUAAAACAAAAACCAGCAGCAAAUUAACUGAGUUCAAGAGAGAAUGUGGCCCGCUGAGCUCCACACUGUGGAGAGUGUGCCGGUUUUCAGGGAGUUGUCUGUGGCACAGUCUGAAAGAUGGCAUCUCAUCUCAUCCAAAGGGAAACGAGGCCAGCUCCUCCCCUUCUCUGACCAGGCACUUCCAAGGACUGCCUCCUGGAGAGAAUGGUGCUUCUUUCGUUUGUCCUGUAUGGGACACAUGGCUGUCUGGAACGGCUGCUCCCUGUCAUCUGUGAUGCUGGUGUUCUCUUACCCAAUUCACCCACUUGGCAUUUUUGUACGCUGAGAACAGGGAUUUGAAAGAUUAGGGAAUACGGGAAGAAAUAAUAUAGAAUUAGAAAACUCCUCGUGUCUUUUAAAUAAACUGAAUGCAGCUAUGAAACGU